rnacentral:rRNA from 1 species
GACGAACGCUGGCGGCGUGCUUAACACAUGCAAGUCGAACGGAAAGGCCCUGCUUGCAGGGUACUCGAGUGGCGAACGGGUGAGUAACACGUGGGUGAUCUGCCCUGCACUUCGGGAUAAGCUUGGGAAUCUGGGUCUAAUACCGGAUAGGAGCCAUCUUUAGUGUGGUGGUUGGAAAGUUUUUUCGGUGUAGGAUGAGCUCGCGGCCUAUCAGCUUGUUGGUGGGGUAAUGGCCUACCAAGGCGGCGACGGGUAGCCGGCCUGAGAGGGUGUACGGCCACAUUGGGACUGAGAUACGGCCCAGACUCCUACGGGAGGCAGCAGUGGGGAAUAUUGCACAAUGGGCGCAAGCCUGAUGCAGCGACGCCGCGUGGGGGAUGAAGGCCUUCGGGUUGUAAACUCCUUUCGCUAGGGACGAAGCUUUGUUGUGACGGUACCUAGAUAAGAAGCACCGGCUAACUACGUG